rnacentral:rRNA from 1 species
AACGAACGCUGGCGGCGCGCCUAAUACAUGCAAGUCGAGCGAGAAGACGUAGCAAUACGUUUGUAAAGCGGCGAACGGGUGAGGAAUACAUGGGUAACCUACCCUCGAGUGGGGAAUAACUAGCCGAAAGGUUAGCUAAUACCGCGUACGCUCCUUGGACUUCGGUUCAGGGAGGAAAGCGAUACCGUGGGUAUCGCGCUCUUGGAUGGGCUCAUGUCCUAUCAGCUCGUUGGGAGGUAACGGCUCACCAAGGCUUCGACGGGUAGCUGGUCUGAGAGGACAAUCAGCCACACUGGCACUGCGACACGGGCCAGACUCCUACGGGAGGCAGCAGUAAGGAAUAUUGCGCAAUGGGCGAAAGCCUGACGC